rnacentral:rRNA from 1 species
CCUACGGGAGUCAGCAGUGAGGAAUAUUGGUCAAUGGGCGAGAGCCUGAACCAGCCAAGUCGCGUGAAGGAUGACGGCCCUACGGGUUGUAACUUCUUUUGUCAGGGAGCAAUUGGGUCCACGCGUGGGCUUAUCGAGAGUACCUGAAGAAAAAGCAUCGGCUAACUCCGUGCCAGCAGACGCGGUAAUACGGAGGAUGCGAGCGUUAUCCGGAUUUAUUGGGUUUAAAGGGUGGUAGGGCGGAAUAUCAAGUCAGCGGUAAAAAUUCGGGGCUCAACCCCGUAGUGCCGUUGAAACUGAUGUGCUUGAGUGGGCGUGAGGUAUGCGGAAUGCGUGGUGUAGCGGUGAAAUGCAUAGAUAGCACGCAGAACUCCGAUUGCGAAGGCAGCAUACCGGCGCCCAACUGACGCUGAAGCACGAAAGCGUGGGUAUCGAACAGGAUUAGAGACCCUAGUAGUC